UACGGAGGAUGCGAGCGUUAUCCGGAUUUAUUGGGUUUAAAGGGUGCGUAGGCGGGCUUUUAAGUCAGCGGUAAAAAUUCGGGGCUCAACCCCGUCCGGCCGUUGAAACUGGGGGUCUUGAGUGGGCGAGAAGAAGGCGGUAUGCGUGGUGUAGCGGUGAAAUGCAUAGAUAUCACGCAGAACCCCGAUUGCGAAGGCAGCCUUCCGGCGCCCUACUGACGCUGAGGCACGAAAGUGCGGGGAUCGAACAGG
rnacentral:rRNA from 1 species